rnacentral:tRNA from 1 species
GAAGGUAUGGCUCAGUGGAAGAGUCCUGUGCUUAGCAUGUAAGAGCGUCCUGGGUUCAAUCCCCAGUACCUCCA